UACACGGAGGCCCCUCGCAAAGUCUCGCGGCAUACCGAGUCCCGCAUACGAAGUUGGCUAGCCCCACCCCCCAAGGCUAUAGCCCACCAUUUUUUUGUGGCCUUUUUCCGCUGGACGAACUUGGCGCCCCGGCCUUCGAGCGGUUAUUUUUGGGCGCGGCUUUGCCCGCGGCCUAUUUCUGGUACACGGAGGCCCCUCGCAAAGUCUCGCGGCAUACCGAGUCCGGCAGACGAAGUUGGCCAGCAUCAGCCCCCAAGGCUAUAGCCCACCCGUUUUUGUGGCCUUUUGGACGAACUUGGCGCCCCGGCCGUCGGGUGGUAAUUUUUUAGCGCGGCUUUGCCCACGGCCUAUUUUUGCACACGGAGGCCCCUCGCAAAGUCUCGCGUCAUUCCGAGUCCGGCGGACGAAGUUGGCCAGCAUCAGCCCCCAAGGCUAUAGCCCACCCGUUUUUGUGGCCUUUUUCCGUGGGACGAACUUAGCGCCCCGGCCGUCGGGCGGUUAUUUUUGGGCGCGGCUUUGCCCGUGGCCUAUUUUUUGCACACGGAGGCCCCUCGCCAAGUCUAGCGGCAUUCCGAGUCCGACGGACGAAGUUGGCAAGCCCCACCCCCCAAGGCUAUAGCCAACCCGUUUUUGUGGCCUUUUUCCGCUGGACGAACUUGGCGCCCCGGCCGUCGGGCGGUUAUUUUUGGGCGCGGCUUUGUCUGCAGAAUAUUUUUGGCACACGGAGGCCCCUCGCAAAGUCUAGCGGCAUUCCGAGUCCGACGGACGAAGUUGGCGAACCCCACCCCCCAAGGCUAUAGCCAACCCGUUUUUGUGGCCUUUUUCCGCUGGACGAACUUGGGGCCCCGGCCGUCGGGCGGUUAUUUUUGGGUGCGGCUUUGCCUGCGGAAUAUUUUUGCACACGGAGGCCCCUUGCAAUGUCUCGCGGCAUUCCGCGUCCGGCGGACGAAGUUGGCCAGCCCCACCCCCCAAGGCUAUAGCCCACCAGUUUUUGUGGCCUUUUUCCGCUGGACGAACUUGGCGCCCCGGCCUUCGGGCGGUUACAUAUAGGCACGGCUUUGCCCGCGGCCUAUUUUUGGCACGCGGAGGCCCCUCGCAAAGUCUCGCGGCAUUCCGAGUGCGGAGGACGAAGUUGGCCAGCCCCACCCCCCAAGGCUAUAGCCCACCCGUUUAUCUGGCCUUUUUCCGCUGGACGAACUUGGCGCCCCGGCCUUCGGGCGGUUAUUUUUGGGUGCGGCUUUGCCCACGGCCUAUUUUUGGCACAUGGAGGCCCCUCGCAAACUCUCGCGGCAUUCCGAGUCCGGCGGACGAAGUGGGCCAGCAUCACCCCUCAAGGCUAUAGCCCACCCGUUUUUGUGGCCUUUUUCCGCUGGACGAACUUGGCGCCCCGGAACUUGCUGCUGCUACCUAUCUAUAAAAUGCACUACAAAAUUUUAUCACUAGAUAACAUAAAAUUUUGAACCAUGAACCUUUUAAACAUCCCACGGCCUAUUUUUGGCACACGGAGGCCCCUCGCAAAGUCUCGCGGCAUUCCGANNNNNNNNNNNNNNNNNNNNNNNNNNNNNNNNNNNNNNNNNNNNNNNNNNNNNNNNNNNNNNNNNNNNNNNNNNNNNNNNNNNNNNNNNNNNNNNNNNNNNNNNNNNNNNNNNNNNNNNNNNNNNNNNNUGGCCUAUAUUUGGCACUCGGCGGCCUUUCACAAAGUCUCGCGGCAUUCCGACUCCGGCGGACGAAGUUGGCCAGCCCCACCCCCCAAGGCUAUAGCCCACCCGUUUUUGUGGCCUUUUUCCGCUGGACGAACUUGGCGCCCCGGCCUUCGGGCGGUUACAUUUAGGCGCGGCUUUGCCCGCGGCCUAUUUUUGGCACGCGGAGGCCCCUCACAAAGUCUCGCGGCAUUCCGAGACCGGCGGACGAAGUUGGCCAGCCCCACCCCCCAAGGCUAUAGCCCACCCGUUUUUGUGGCCUUUUUCCGCUGGACGAACUUGGCGCCCCGGCCGUCGGGCGGUUAUUUUUGGGCGCGGCUUUGUCCGCGGCCUAUUUUUGGCACACGGAGGCCCCUCGCAAAGUAUAGCGGCAUUCCGAGUCCGGCGGACGAAGUUGGCCAGCAUCACCCCCCAAGGCUAUAGCCCACCCGUUUUUGUGGCCUUUUUCCGCUGGAUGACCCUGGCGCCCCGGCCUUCAGGCGGUUAAUUUUGGGCGCAGCUUUGCCCGCGGCCUAUUUUUGGCACACGGAGGCCCCUCGCAAAGUCUCGCGGCAUUCUGAGUCCGGCGGACGAAGUCGGCCAGCCCCACCCCCCAAGGCUAUAGCCCACCCGUUUUUGUGGCCUUUUUCCGCUGGACAAACUUGGCGCCCCGGCCUUCAGGUGGUUAUUUUUGGGCGCGGCUUAGCCCGCGGCCUGUUUUUGGCACACGGAGGCCCCUGGCAAAGUCUCGCGGCAUUCCGAGUGCGGCGGACGAAGUUGGCCAGCCCCACCCCCCAAGGCUAUAGCCCACCCGUUUAUCUGGCCUUUUUCCGCUGGACGAACUUGGCGCCCCGGCCUUCGGGCGGUUAAUUUUGGGCGCGGCUUUGCCCGCGGCCUAUUUUUGGCACAUGGAGGCCCCUGGUAAACUCUCGCGGCAUUCCGAGUCAGGCGGACGAAGUUGGCCAGCAUCACCCCUCAAGGCUAUAGCCCACCCGUUUUUGUGGCCUUUUUCCGCUGGACGAACUUGGCGCCCCGGAACUUGCUGCUGCUACCUAUCUAUAAAAUGCACUACAAAAUUUUAUCACUAGAUAACAUAAUAUUUUGAACCAUGAAUCUUUUAAACAUCCCAGGGCCUAUUUUUGGCACACGGAGGCCCCUCGCAAAGUCUCGCGGCAUUCCGAGUCCGGCAGACGAAGUUGGCCAGCCCCACCCCCCAAGGCUAUAGCCCACCGGUUUUUGUGGCCUGUUUCCGCUGGACGAACUUGCCACCCCGGCCUUCGGGCGGUUAAUUUUGGGCGCGGCUUUGCCCGCGGCCUAUUUUUGGCACAAUGGAGUCCCCUCGCAAAAUCUAGCGGCAUUCCGAGUCCGGCGGACGAAGUGGGCCAGCAUCACCCCUCAAGGCUAUAGCCCACCAGUUUGUGUGGCCUUUUUCCGCAGAACGAACUUGGCGCCCCGGAACUUGCUGCUGCUACCUAUCUAUAAAAUGCACUACAAAAUUUUAUCACUAGAUAACAUAAUAUUUUGAACCAUGAACCUUUUAAACAUCCCACGGCCUAUUUUUGGCACACGGAGGCCCCUCGCAAAGUCUCGCAGCAUUCCGAGUCCGGCGGACGAAGUUGGCCAGCCCCACCCCCCAAGGCUAUAGCCCACCCGUUUUUGUGGCCUUUUUCCGCUUAGAGAACUUGGCGCCCCGGCCUACGGGCUGUUAUUUUUGGGCGCGGCUUUGCCCGCGGCCUAGUUUUGGCACACGGAGGCCCCUCGCAAAGUCUCGCGGCAUUUCGAGACUGGCGGACGAAGUC
rnacentral:lncRNA from 1 species